rnacentral:rRNA from 1 species
GACGAACGCUGGCGGCGUGCUUAACACAUGCAAGUCGAACGGAAAGGCUCAGCUUGCUGGGUGCUCGAGUGGCGAACGGGUGAGUAACACGUGGGUGAUCUGCCCCUAACUUCGGGAUAAGCUUGGGAAACUGGGUCUAAUACCGGAUAGGACAAUCGUUUAGUGUCGGUUGUGGAAAGUUUUUUCGGUUAGGGAUGAGCCCGCGGCCUAUCAGCUUGUUGGUGGGGUAAUGGCCUACCAAGGCGUCGACGGGUAGCCGGCCUGAGAGGGUGGACGGCCACAUUGGGACUGAGAUACGGCCCAGACUCCUACGGGAGGCAGCAGUGGGGAAUAUUGCACAAUGGGCGCAAGCCUGAUGCAGCGACGCCGCGUGGGGGAUGACGGCCUUCGGGUUGUAAACCUCUUUCGACAGGGACGAAGCUUUGGUGACGGUACCUGUAUAAGAAGCACCGGCUAACUACGUG